CUUUGCAGCCAGGCUGCUCCCGCUGAUGGCAGCGGAGGAGCCGACGUGUGGCACUGCAUCGCCCGCAGCGCCCGUACAGCUGAGCGCACACACGUGCGCAGGGAGCGUUUUAACGCAGAGCCUUCCGCUCUCCCGGCGCGGCCCAGGAGAAAACACCGCGUCCCGCCCCGCUGCUGCCGGGAGGAACAGUGAUGCGGUGGGUUCUGUUUGCACGACUUCGGUGAAAAACUGUCUGCGAUGAAAGUGCAGCCGUGGAGCGGAGCGGCGCGCAGUGCGCUCCGGGGGAAGCUCAGACUGCAGUCCGUGCGCUCUGUGCUGCUGCUGCAAAACCGCCGUGAGCGGCGGCACGAGGGGGGGCACUGACAGCACACCACGGUGACACCGCCCUGUGGGGCGGGGGGGGAUGGGGAUCCAGGGGUAUGGGGUUGGGUUUGGGGUCUGGGAGGUGAUGGGGAUCCAGGGGUAUGGGGUUGGGUUUGGCACUGGGAGGUGAUGGGGAUCCAGGGAUAUGGGGUUGGGUUUGGGGUCUGGGAGGUGAUGGGGAUCCAGGGAUAUGGGGUUGGGUUUGGGGCCUGGGAGAUGGUGGGGAUCCAGAGACAAGGUGUUAGGUUUGGGCUCUGGGAGGUGAUGGGGAUCCAGGGAUAUGGGGUUAGGUUUGGGCUCUGGGAGGUGAUGGGGAUCCAGGGAUAUGGGGUUAGGUUUGGGGUCUGGGAGAUGGUGGGGAUCCAGGGAUAUGGGGUUAGGUUUGGCACUGGGAGGUGAUGGGGAUCCAGGGAUAUGGGGUUGGGUUUGGCACUGGGAGGUGAUGGGGAUCUGGGGAUAUGGGGUUAGGUUUGGGGUCUGGGAGAUGGUGGGGAUCCAGGGAUAUGGGGUUAGGUUUGGCACUGGGAGGUGAUGGGGAUCCAGGGAUAUGGGAUUAAGUUUGGGGUCUGGGAGGUGAUGGGGAUCCAGGGGUAUGGGGUUAGGUUUGGCACUGGGAGGUGAUGGGGAUCCAGGGAUAUGGGGUUGGGUUUGGGGUCUGGGAGGUGAUGGGGAUCCAGGGAUAUGGGGUUGGGUUUGGCACUGGGAGGUGAUGGGGAUCCAGGGAUAUGGGGUUAGGUUUGGCACUGGGAGGUGAUGGGGAUCCAGGGAUAUGGGGUUGGGUUUGGCACUGGGAGGUGAUGGGGAUCCAGGGAUAUGGGGUUGGGUUUGGGGUCUGGGAGGUGAUGGGGAUCCAUGGAUAUGGGGUUGGGUUUGGCACUGGGAAUGAUGCUGAGCUGCGGGUGCUGGGGGAGCAGUCAGCCUCGCAUGGCCGCGUGGUGGGAUCUGUGCCGGAGCCCUAUUUGUAGUACAGCACACAAUGGGCGAUGGGCCGUCGGUGAUGAGCGACGGGAGGUGAGGGGUGGAUGAUGGGUUGUGGGAUGUCAAUGGGGUCAGUGGUUGGUGGUGGGUGGUGGGUGAUGGGCAGUGGGCAGCGGUGGGUGAUGGGGAAUGGGCAAUAGGUGCCGGGCAAUGGGCGAUGGGUGCUGGGCGAUGGGCGAUGGGCGAUGGGUGAUGGCACCCAGCGGGGGUCGGGGGUCCCAGGGCUCCUCACAUCCAUCCCCACUGCUUCAAAGGGACAGGACUGUGCCUGUGGGUGCGCGCUGCUGCCCCGCACGGGGCUCAUUAACGGUUCGAUGGGGGAG
rnacentral:lncRNA from 1 species